UGUUUCUGCAGGGGCAGGGGGCUGAGGAGGCAGAGGGGGGAGAGAUGGAGACAGACGGAGAGUUGGUGUCCCUCUGUCCUGCUGCCCGGCACCAGCAGGUGCCCAAGGUGAUGGCACGCAUCGGCAGGAGGCUCUGUGCCCACAGGCUGUGCUCACUGGAGCAGUUGCCCACCCCCUACAGUGCAGCUGUCACUCACCCUGGCCCAGAGGGAGGCCAGAGUCACCUGGAGUCCCAUCCCUGCCUGUUUGUUUACUAAGACUAUGAAAACUGCUUUCUGGAAAGAUCUCGAAGCAGGAGCGUCCGCUUCACGCAACGCCUUGGAAGCAGUGGGUAUCAUUUUAAUUUUUGCCGAUUCAAUGAGUAGGAGUUGGUAUCUUACA